GGGGAAUUGACCCAUAGGGACCAGGGGGUAUUUUUGUGUAAACCAAACUGGGGUGGGAGGGCUCUAACGAGGGAACCCCAUUGUCCAGUAGGUGCUUGAUUUGUGUCUGUGUAAAGUGCAUGAGUGGUUGCAGUUAAAAAAAAACAGAAGAAUGAUAAGAGGGAUAAGAGAAAGUAGGCAUUUUGGGUUAUCUAUACAUGUUUAAAUAGAAGGGUGGUAAAU